AACCCUAAAUUCGUGAAACAGCAGAAACAGAAAUUGGGGAAAACCAGCAGAAACCCUUACGUUAGGGUUAUGAGAGAAGCUCUCCAAUUUCUCUCCGCAGACUAUGCGCUGGUGCUAACCGGAAGAAGAUCAACGCACGAUACCACCGCGGUUGGCCUAACAAGUGAAGCGGAAAGGGAGAAUAGCAGUGAAAGAAAGUAACUCGAAGAGGGUUACCGUUGGAAAUCAUUUUUGAAGGUGACCCACGGUGAUUCUUGUGGGGAUUUGUUUGGGGAAGGAAGAAGAAGCAAACACCGUCGUCGAAAAUAAUUUCCGAUGGCGGUGGCUCACAGUGGUCCUUGCGUUUUGGCCAUAGACUCACAGGGCACGAAAAAGAGGUGACAGAGUGAGCGAGAGGGAAAAGAAAAAAAGAAAAAAAAUGGAAGAACACAUUAUGGUUGUUGGAAAUCAGCACGAACAGCAAAUCGUUGAGGGCAUGGUGAUUUAUUUGCAGUGGUAAGGUAGCUCUGUGAGAAUUGUAGUAGAGUAGUUGAGGGGAGCAGUUGCUGGGGUUCACGGAGGAUAAUGGAAGAUACGAGCAACAUGUUUUUUCUUCUUAUUUUUCUAUUUUGUUUUGUUGUUUAUUUUUUUGUUUUUUUUUUGUUUUUUGCUUUUAAUCUGUAUUAUAUUUUGUAAUAUUAUGGACUGGACUUUUUUGAUUUAUACAGGAAGACAAAAUUUGGAGUUAA